GGCGCCGCCGCCGCGGCGGCCCGUCCGGCGGCCUUGGCGCGGCCCCAUUUCUCCGGGCGUUCGGCGCGUUCCGGCGCCUCC
rnacentral:tRNA from 1 species